AGAACUGGUUUUCUCUUCUUUUCGCUGUGACAGUAAGCGGUCUGUUGGAAGCCUACACUGCCCAGCUGGAUAAUGCGUUCAUACCUCUGGUGUUCUAUAGUCUCCUGUGUCUGUGAACACCUAUCUACUGAUCCAUGAACUUUAAACUAUUUUUUCUGAAAACAACACUCGGAUCUUUUGACAGUAUGCUUUUGAGCACACAUUCUUUUUGUAAAUAUCACUGUAGUAGAGUUACUUGACAUGUACAAUCGGUUUGAUAGGAGAGCUGAUCCAUGAAAUUUAAACUAUUUUUUCUGAAAACAACACUCGGAUCUUUUGACAGUAUGCUUUUGAGCACACAUUCUUUUUGUAAAUAUCACUGUAGUAGAGUUACUUGACAUGUACAAUCGGUUUGAUAGGAGAAAAAGCAAAAGCUACUCUUUUUUGUAAUCUAGAUGUAGAAUUUGUUUCCCGAAAGGUACAAUCAAUUUCUUUUCCUUUCAAAAGUUGUAGUUUGUAACUUGCCUUUUAUACUUCAUCCUCCUUUAAUGGCAUGGAUGUAAAUAAAAUAGUCAAUCAGAACUUACAGGCACUUGGAGAGAAGAAUUUAUCGAAAUUUCCAUGUAUUGUACCAGGGAUGUACACAAGAAUUUUUAUAAGCGGUGUUAAGAUUUAUAGAUGUAUAAGAUACUUCAAUUAUCAUAUUUCUAGACAAGAAAUAUUCUCUUUCAUAUAUUUGUAAAAAAAUGUGCUAGUUGAGGUUUGAACCUCGGACCUAUUAGAGUAAAAAUAAAGCAUAUAACCGAGAGAGAAUUUAUGUUAGUGGAGCACUGCCUUUUGUCAAAUUUGUUUUUUUUCCUGAUUAAGCUGCACACCUCUCGUCCCUAUAACAUCAAAGGAACAUGUGAAGUCCGGGAUACAAAUUUCUUCGUAGACGAUCAUAGUCAUUCAUUCUUGUCUCC
rnacentral:lncRNA from 1 species